GUGACAAGGACUGAGUGGAGCCACAAGAUACGAAGAUGCCAAAGAGAAAGGCUGUAAAGCAGCAACAGAGUCAAUGACCUUUAGGGUUGUUUCCAGUUUGGGGCUGUAAUGAACUAUGAAUGAUGCUGCUUUGAAUCUUCUCAGGCUGCUCUACCUGUGCAGCCAUUUCUUCAAGGAGAGAACAUUCUACAGACAAAACUAUACUGAAAGGAUUUCAAGUGAUGUUGGAAAAUGUUGAAGAAAAGUAUCAAAUGGUAAUGGCAGAAUAUA